GACAUCACCGAUAAUGGUGAGCCCUUGGGUUGUGUCUCCUUCUAGCUGUUUGCAGACCAAGUUCCAAAGACAGCAAGAAACUUUUGCACUCUGAGCAUUAGAGAGAAAAUAUUUGGUUAUAAGGAUUCCUGCUUUCACAGAAUUAUUCCAGGGUUUAUGUGUCAGGAUGGCGACUUCACAGGCCAUAAUGGCACUGGUGGAAAGUCCAUUCAUGGAGAGAAAUUUGAUGAAAACUUCAUCCCAAAGCAUACAGGUCCUGUCAUCUUUCCAUGGCAAAUGCUAGACCCAACACAAACGGUUUCCAGUUUUUCAUCUGCUCUGCCAAGACUGAGUGGUUAGAAGGCAAACAUGUGGUCUUUGGGAAGGUGAAAGAAGGCAUGAAUAUCUCAGAGGCCAUGGAGCACUUUGGGUUCAGGAAUAAGAAGACCAGCAAGAAGAUCACCAUUGCUGACUCUGGACAG
rnacentral:lncRNA from 1 species